ACUGUGUGGUAUUGGUUUGUCUUGUCAUUCUUUGUUGGACUUUGUUGAUGCUGGUCUUUGCUGAUGAUGCUAUGUUGUAUUGGUUUGCCUUAUUAUUUUUGUUGAUUAUCGCUUGUUGUGACUUUAAAAAUAUAUAAGCCUAUAUGAAAUAUCAUCAAAAUCUCUCCUAGAGGGGAUUUCAGAAUGACUAUACUUUAAAAAAUAAGUUUAUUUAUUUCAUUUUGGAUGUGUGUGCCUGUAGAGCUCAAAGAAUUGUUGGAGUUAGCUCUCUGCUCCCACCAUGUUGGAGGUAGGAUGUCUUCUUUUUAUUUCUGAAGCUGUACAGCCCAGCUAGCCACCUAUGUAUCCUGAGGCUCCAACUCAGGUUGUCAUGGCAAUCACCUUUACCUCUGAGCCAUCUUUCUGGGCUGUCUAUUAUACAUCUGCUGCAGAUCUCUGUGUGCCUCUUACCUUCCUCUGCUACAAGAUUCACCUCUACUGCGUGGAUAAAUGCCCUGACCUCUUGUGGCCCGGCACAUUUUGCACAUUUCCUUCUCUGCUGUUUAUUCUUUUCUUCAAUUCUCUUUUAGUACUGAAAGUAGAUCUGCCUUUUAUGAGAAACAAAACUUUGCAGGAAAGUGUGAGUGGUUUGGUGAGGAUGCAGCAUGAUAAGUAGAAAGUAAUAGUCACAUGUAGCAACAAGCUAGGGACAAAGAUUUAGAAAUGUGCUAAUUGCACUCUAGAGUUCGAUGUUUCUCUUUUGAGUAAGGAUAAAGCAAAUGUGGUCAUAACUACUGUCAAGUUUACUGAGAUCUUGGUUUGGGGUUGUUUUGUUUUGUUUUGUUUUGCCUUUGUUUUUGUUUUGUUUGUUGGUUGAUUUGUUUUGUUUUGACUUUGUGACAGAUAUCCAAGCAUGUUAUAUUUUAAACUUGUCUCUGCCUGAGAAAUAACUCAUUGUGAACUUCCUUUCUUGAAUAUUCAAAAUCUGGAUAUAGUGAGAAUACACACUCUGAUCAAUCAGUCAAUAAAUAUUGUGUCAAUCAAA
rnacentral:lncRNA from 1 species